rnacentral:rRNA from 1 species
ACGCACGCUGGCGGCGUGCUUAACACAUGCAAGUCGAACGGAAAGGCCCUGCUUUUGUGGGGUGCUCGAGUGGCGAACGGGUGAGUAACACGUGAGUAACCUGCCCUUGACUUUGGGAUAACUUCAGGAAACUGGGGCUAAUACCGGAUAGGAACUCCUGCUGCAUGGUGGGGGUUGGAAAGUUUCGGCGGUUGGGGAUGGACUCGCGGCUUAUCAGCUUGUUGGUGGGGUAGUGGCUUACCAAGGCUUUGACGGGUAGCCGGCCUGAGAGGGUGACCGGCCACAUUGGGACUGAGAUACGGCCCAGACUCCUACGGGAGGCAGCAGUGGGGAAUAUUGCACAAUGGGCGGAAGCCUGAUGCAGCAACGCCGCGUGCGGGAUGACGGCCUUCGGGUUGUAAACCGCUUUCGCCUGUGACGAAGCGUGAGUGACGGUAAUGGGUAAAGAAGCACCGGCUAACUACGUG